rnacentral:rRNA from 1 species
AUUGAACGCUGGCGGCAGGCCUAACACAUGCAAGUCGAGCGAGCGGCGGACGGGUGAGUAAUGUAUGGGGACUGCCCGAUAGAGGGGGAUAACUACUGGAAACGGUAGCUAAUACCGCAUCCUAUCGGAUAACCCAUAUGGGAUUAGCUAGUAGGUGAGGUAAUGGUUCACCUAGGGGACGAUCCCUAGCUGGGCUGAGAGGGUGAUCAGCCACAAUGGAACGGAGACACGGCCCAGACUCCUAAGGAGGCAGCAGUGGGGAAUAUUGCACAAUGGGCGCAAGCCGGAUGCAGCCAUGCCGCGUGUAUGAAGAAGGCCUUAGGGUUGUAAAGUACUUUCAGUCGGGAGGCGUUACCGACAGAAGAAGCACCGGCUAACUCCGUGCCAGCCGCCGCGGUAAUAC